rnacentral:rRNA from 1 species
GACGAACGCUGGCGGCGUGCCUAAUACAUGCAAGUUGAGCGAUGAAGAUUGGUGCUUGCACCAAUUUGAAGAGCAGCGCACGGGUGAGUAACGCGUGGGGAAUCUGCCUUUGAGCGGGGGACAACAUUUGGAAACGAAUGCUAAUACCGCAUAAUAACUUUAAACAUAAGUUUUAAGUUUGAAAGAUGCAAUUGCAUCACUCAAAGAUGAUCCCGCGUUGUAUUAGCUAGUUGGUGAGGUAAAGGCUCACCAAGGCGAUGAUACAUAGCCGACCUGAGAGGGUGAGCGGCCACACUGGGACUGAGACACGGCCCAAACUCCUACGGGAGGCAGCAGUAGGGAAUCUUCGGCAAUGGACGAAAGUCUGACCGAGCAACGCCGCGUGAGUGAAGAAGGUUGUCGGAUCGUAAAACUCUGUUGGUAGAGAAGAACGUUGGUGAGAGUGGAAAGCUCAUCAAGUGACGGUAACUACCCAGAAAGGGACGGCUAACUACGUG